rnacentral:rRNA from 1 species
ACGCUGGCGGCAGGCCUAACACAUGCAAGUCGAGCGGUAGAGAGAAGCUUGCUUCUCUUGAGAGCGGCGGACGGGUGAGUAAUGCCUAGGAAUCUGCCUGGUAGUGGGGGAUAACGUUCGGAAACGGACGCUAAUACCGCAUACGUCCUACGGGAGAAAGCAGGGGACCUUCGGGCCUUGCGCUAUCAGAUGAGCCUAGGUCGGAUUAGCUAGUUGGUGAGGUAAUGGCUCACCAAGGCGACGAUCCGUAACUGGUCUGAGAGGAUGAUCAGUCACACUGGAACUGAGACACGGUCCAGACUCCUACGGGAGGCAGCAGUGGGGAAUAUUGGACAAUGGGCGAAAGCCUGAUCCAGCCAUGCCGCGUGUGUGAAGAAGGUCUUCGGAUUGUAAAGCACUUUAAGUUGGGAGGAAGGGCAGUUACCUAAUACGUGAUUGUUUUGACGUUACCGACAGAAUAAGCACCGGCUAACUCUGUGCCAGCAGCCGCGGUAAUACAGAGGGUGCAAGCGUUAAUCGGAAUUACUGGGCGUAAAGCGCGCGUAGGUGGUUAGUUAAGUUGGAUGUGAAAUCCCCGGGCUCAACCUGGGAACUGCAUUCAAAACUGACUGUCUAGAGUAUGGUAGAGGGUGGUGGAAUUUCCUGUGUAGCGGUGAAAUGCGUAGAUAUAGGAAGGAACACCAGUGGCGAAGGCGACCACCUGGACUGAUACUGACACUGAGGUGCGAAAGCGUGGGGAGCAAAC